rnacentral:rRNA from 1 species
UACGGAGGGAGCAAGCGUUACUCGGAAUUAUUGGGCGUAAAGGGCGCGUAGGCGAUUCUUCAAGUCUCGUGUGAAAGCCCACAGCUUAACUGUGGAAGUGCACAAGAAACUGUCGAGUUUGAGUUCCGGAGAGGAAGGCAGAAUUCCCGGUGUAGCGGUGAAAUGCGUAGAUAUCGGGAGGAAUACCAGUGGCGAAGGCGGCCUUCUGGACGGAUACUGACGCUGAUGAGCGAAAGCCAGGGGAGCAAACGGG